rnacentral:misc_RNA from 1 species
GGAAGACGUGAGUAGCAAAUUUUGGGGAUACAAAAGACCUUGUCAUUUUUUAGGGGCUAGGGCCUGACAGUUUCUGAAUAGCUUUCUUCCAAGAAUUCUGGAAUGUUGUCAAGGAUGAAUUGCUUAAUGUUAAACAUUAUUGAAGGUUUGAGGUACAAGAAAAGAAUGUCAGAAUUCCAGUAAGGAUUCACUACUUCCUGAUGCAAAGUGGAACUAGCUUUUUAUGCAAUCAUUGUUCCAAGAAAUUUUGUUUUCCAUCAGCACACUUUCUUACAACUCUUUUAGGUUAUUACAACAUUUUUACACAAACUUUUUCAUAAUCCUUGCUGCAUUUGCAUGCAACUAUUGCAUCAGCAUUGUCCUACAGGCAUUUUUCCAUCUCCACACUUCCCAUCAACCUCAUCCACAACCUAAGUGCUCA